GAUGAACGCUGGCGGCGUGCCUAAUACAUGCAAGUCGAGCGAACAGACGAGGAGCUUGCUCCUCUGACGUUAGCGGCGGACGGGUGAGAAACACGUGGAUAACCUACCUAUGAGACUGGGAUAACUUCGGGAAACCGGAGCUAAUACCGGAUAAUAUAUUGAACCGCAUGGUUCAAUAGUGAAAGACGGUUUUGCUGUCACUUAUAGAUGGAUCCGCGCCGCAUUAGCUAGUUGGUAAGGUAACGGCUUACCAAGGCAACGAUGCGUAGCCGACCUGAGAGGGUGAUCGGCCACACUGGAACUGAGACACGGUCCAGACUCCUACGGGAGGCAGCAGUAGGGAAUCUUCCGCAAUGGGCGAAAGCCUGACGGAGCAACGCCGCGUGAGUGAUGAAGGUCUUCGGAUCGUAAAACUCUGUUAUUAGGGAAGAACAAAUGUGUAAGUAACUAUGCACGUCUUGACGGUACCUAAUCAGAAAGCCACGGCUAACUACGUG
rnacentral:rRNA from 1 species